rnacentral:tRNA from 1 species
GCCUGGAUAGCUCAGUCGGUAGAGCAGAGGACUGAAAAUCCUUGUGUCGGUGGUUCGAUUCCGCCUCCAGGCACCA